CGCUCGUUGGUCUAGGGGUAUGAUUCUCGCAAAGGGAGCAAGAGGUCCAGGGUUCAAAUGCAGGAUGAGCUC